CAAUGGGGGAACCCUGAUGCAGCNNCGCCGCGCUGAGUGAAGAAGUAUUUCCCNUUAUGUAAANCUNUAUCAGCAGGGNAAGAUAAUGACGGUACCUGCACUAAGAAGCUCCGGCUAAAUACGUGCCAGCAGCCGCGGUAAUACGUAUGGAGCAAGCGUUAUCCGGAUUUACUGGGUGUAAAGGGUGCGUAGGUGGCAGUGCAAGUCAGAUGUGAAAGGCCGGGGCUCAACCCCGGAGCUGCAUUUGAAACUGCAUAGCUAGAGUACAGGAGAGGCAGGCGGAAUUCCUAGUGUAGCGGUGAAAUGCGUAGAUAUUAGGAGGAACACCAGUGGCGAAGGCGGCUCACUGGACUGUAACUGACACUGAGGCUCGAAAGCGUGGGGAGCAAACAGGAUUAGAUACCCUGGUAGUCCAAGGGCGAAUUC
rnacentral:rRNA from 1 species